AAGGUGUUAGCGGGAGAGACUGCGCCACACAGCUGUGUGGCCAGCGCCGAAGGAGCAACUGCCCCGGAAACUCUCAGGCAAAAGGGACCGCUAACACGAU
rnacentral:ncRNA from 2 species